GGCUUGAUAGCUCAACUGGUAGAGCACAGCGCCGGUAUCAUAGAGGUCAUGGGUUCGAUUCCCAUUUAAGCCU
rnacentral:tRNA from 1 species